UCCGGUUUGUCACCGGCAGUCCCAUUAGAGUGCCCAACUUAAUGUGGCAACUAAGAGCAGGGGUUGCGCUCGUUGCGGCACUUAAGCCAACACCUCACGGCACGAGCUGACGACAGCCAUGCAGCACCUGUGCGGGCUCCCGAAGGAGCAUCGUGUUUCCACGGCUUUACCCCGCAUGUCAAGCCCUGGUAAGGUUCUUCGCGUUGCGUCGAAUUAAGCCACAUGCUCCGCCGCUUGUGCGGGCCUCCGUCAAUUCCUUUGAGUUUCAGCCUUGCGGCCGUACUCCCCAGGCGGGGCACUUAAUGCGUUAGCUGCGACACCGAAUCCGUCUAUAGACCCGGCAUCUAGUGCCCAUCGUUUACGGCGUGGACUAC
rnacentral:misc_RNA from 1 species